rnacentral:rRNA from 1 species
AACCAACUGGGAUUACCUUAGUAACGGCGAGUGAAGCGGUAAAAGCUCAAAUUUGAAAUCUGGUACUUUCAGUGCCCGAGUUGUAAUUUGUAGAAUUUGUCUUUGAUUAGGUCCUUGUCUAUGUUCCUUGGAACAGGACGUCAUAGAGGGUGAGAAUCCCGUUUGGCGAGGAUACCUUUUCUCUGUAAGACUUUUUCGAAGAGUCGAGUUGUUUGGGAAUGCAGCUCAAAGUGGGUGGUAAAUUCCAUCUAAAGCUAAAUAUUGGCGAGAGACCGAUAGCGAACAAGUACAGUGAUGGAAAGAUGAAAAGAACUUUGAAAAGAGAGUGAAAAAGUACGUGAAAUUGUUGAAAGGGAAGGGCAUUUGAUCAGACAUGGUGUUUUUUAAAUGUGCAAGUCUCUCGUGGACAUGUGCCUCUGGAAAUUAACACUGGGCCAACAUCAGUUCUGGCGGCAGGAUAAAUCAUUAAGAAUGUAGCUACCUGGUAGUGUUAUAGCUUUUUGGAAUACUGCC